rnacentral:piRNA from 1 species
UCUCUGUGUAGUCCUGGCUGUCUUGGAACU